rnacentral:rRNA from 1 species
UACGUAGGGUGCAAGCGUUACUCGGAAUUACUGGGCGUAAAGCGUGCGCAGGCGGCUCUGCAAGACAGAUGUGAAAUCCCCGGGCUCAACCUGGGAACUGCAUUUGUGACUGCAGGGCUAGAGUACGGUAGAGGGGGAUGGAAUUCCGCGUGUAGCAGUGAAAUGCGUAGAUAUGCGGAGGAACACCGAUGGCGAAGGCAAUCCCCUGGACCUGUACUGACGCUCAUGCACGAAAGCGUGGGGAGCAAACAGG